CCUACGGGCGGCAGCAGUGAGGAAUAUUGGUCAAUGGACGAGAGUCUGAACCAGCCAAGUAGCGUGAAGGAUGACUGCCCUAUGGGUUGUAAACUUCUUUUAUAUGGGAAUAAAAUGUUCCACGUGUGGGAUUUUGUAUGUACCAUAUGAAUAAGGAUCGGCUAACUCCGUGCCAGCAGCCGCGGUAAUACGGAGGAUCCGAGCGUUAUCAGGAUUUAUUGGGUUUAAAGGGAGCGUAGGUGGAUUGUUAAGUCAGUUGUGAAAGUUUGCGGCUCAACCGUAAAAUUGCAGUUGAAACUGGCAGUCUUGAGUACAGUAGAGGUGGGCGGAAUUCGUGGUGUAGCGGUGAAAUGCUUAGAUAUCACGAAGAACUCCGAUUGCGAAGGCAGUUCACUGGACUGCAACUGACACUGAGGCUCGAAAGUGUGGGUAUCAAACAGGAUUAGAUACCCUUGUAGUC
rnacentral:rRNA from 1 species